UUCUGUAUUUACUUAAUAUUAGUUAAUUUACUGUUUGUGAAUAAUUGUGAAAGUAAGACCUUUAUUCAGAAUAUAUAUUAUUGAUUGACUGUAUUGAUAUGACUGUACCUUAUAUCUUUGCCACAAUGUACUACAGUUAUUGACAUUUAAAAAUAAAAAUAAACAAUAGUUUUGAAAGAUCAAUGUUAUUGAAUAACAUAAUUAUCACAUUGCAUGGAAAAGUAAAAAAAAGUAAAAGUAGCAUCUGAAAGUUUUUGUUCUUUUGGCUACCAGUUUUUGGCAAUUUAUUAAAUUAUUUAUAGGUAAAACUUUAAUUUUACACAAUGUCUCAGCAUUCAGAAAAAGAGUGUAUUGACGCUAGCACAACAAAUGUUGGCCUUUGCACAUCUCCUAUAAAUAAAUUUGUAUGUAAUAUGGCUAACACAAGAGUAUUAUUAGAUUUAUGGAAAGAUAAUUACAAAGCAUUAACAUCUGCAAGAAGAAACAAACAUUUACAAACAAAUGACAGCUGAAUUUUCAAACACAUUUAAUAUCGUGCCUCCGUUAACUGGAUAUUAAAUUCAAUAUAAAAAUAGUAAUUUGAGGAAACAAUUUAGACGAGAAAAACUUCUAGUUGGUUCAUUGGGAGGAGCUCCUAGUAAAUGGUGGCCUUACGAUAUUGUUGCCAAAAUAAUAGGUGGUGAAGCUUCCCUUGACAAUGACCUUUUAUCUCAAAGUCAAAACUUUUCUACUUAAGAUUUUCAAGAUGGUCAGGUAAGUUUAGUAUAAUUUAUUGUUGUAUAUUUUAAAGUGCUAUAUAUUUUUUAAAGUAAUAUAAACAAGCAUGUUAACUAUUUCUACAAAAUAAGGUUUAAGAGGUUCUUAG